AUUAUAAAAAGAUGUUGCCUGGUGACCUGUCAGAAACCCAUUAUACAGAGUCAGCCAAAAUAAUGUUUACACACAUCAGGAAAAGAAAAACUUGCAUAAAUAUUUCAAUGCCAAAUUUAUUCAGACAUCACGAGGUUAAUAAAAGUUAUCUUUGGCCUCUACAAUUACAAGAGGUGCUCAAAGUGGUGGCCACUGGCUUCCAGACAUUUCUGUUGUGUUGUAGACGUCACUUGUUGAUGCUCCAUUCAUGAGAGUAGCGCCAUCUGUUGGGAAAACAUCGUACAACAGGACACAGAGUUUUUUAUGAUUUGAUCAAACUUUGAAAGAGGAAUCUAUAUGUGUAGAAGUACUUAUACAAAUGAAAUAUCUAUAAAAAAUGUUCUUUUCCUGAUGUGUGUAUACAUUAUUUUUGACUGACUGUGAACUUAAUGAGAACAAAACUGUCAUUUAAUUGUUGCUCUGAAAGCUUGUUUAGUGAAAACCGGCUGGUGUUCUGCUUUGAAACAAACUGCUGUUGAGGUCUGUGUUUUUAGGUUUAACCCCACAGUUUCUGAAUGAACUGAUAGUUUGUUUUUCCCUGAUCAAUGUGGACGUUAUAAUUGAUGGUAACAUUUACUGAUCAUAUAAUCAGCAUGACAAUAUAACAGUAUAACAUUCUGACCACCUGACUAAUACUGUGUUGGUCCCUUUAUGCUGCUAAAACUCCUCUGACCCAGUGGUUCAUCAGAACCUCUGGGAUGUCCUGUGGAUUCUGUGGGUCCUGUGGGUUGCAAGGUGGGUCCUACCUAGACCAGGCUGAUCCUGGACCAUCCCACAGAUGCUCAAUCAGAUCUGGAUGUGGGGAGUGUGGAACCCAGAUGUUCAGAGGGAGAUGAUGCCACAUCUGGUCCAGCUGAUGGAAGGUCUUGAAGUUCUCUGACUGGCCUGGACUGAAGAUGGUCGUCUCACUGGAUUUAAGGUUCAGAUGCUCAGUAACAAACUCCACCAAUGUGCCAACAGGGAAGCUUUAGGUUUAUUAAAUGUUGCUAUGAAGGUAUCGCUGUUUUUCUUUGUGAAUGCAAUGUGCUCCAACUGAAACUUGAAUUAGAACUUAGAAGUAAAUCCUUCCAUCUGAAAGGAUCUAGUUGUAUUAAUAACCUCAUAACAUUCUAAUUUUUAUUCCAGUCUUGGUUGGAAAUAGAAUCUCUGUAUUGAUUCAGGUAAAAACUGAACUUCACAGCAUGUUGGAGCAAAACAACCAGAUGAAAACUGUGAUGGUGUUGGAUUGUCAGACCGUAAUGUUGCAGCUCAAAGCAGCUUUUCUAACUCAAUAACUAGCUGAAUAGCUGCAGUCUAAUGUAACAGCUGGAAUUGUAACAUCUGUCCUGAUAUUGAUCAUGAAGUAUUGAUCAGAAUUCUAAUGGUCAGCUGUCAUCCCUGAAGUUUUACAUUAAAAUCUUUACUUGUGUUGUGAACUUUGGUAAGAAGCAGAAACUUUAGCGUUGCCAUGGAUACAUGAGUGUUAAAUUCAGUCCAUGUUUCAUUUUGGGAAAUUCAGUCCAGCAGAUGAGUUUGUCUUUACUGCCAGCUACCGUUCAGUCUGAGAUAUUAAGAAUAAAUAAAUGUGCAUAAUGUGGAAAUGAACAGAUUUUAUUUUUAUUUAUUCCUACAGCUGCUGCAGGUAAAGUUAUAGAAUGUGGAGGAAUUUAGUCUCACAAUCACAGACAAUAAAUAUUAUCUGAAAGUCAGGUUAUUGUUGUUUAUCAGCACAAUACAAAAAGAUUCAUGUGAGAAAUAUUCCAGUUAAGACUCUAGAAUAUCAUGAUUUAUGUGAAUUUACCUCAAUAUAAAUGUUCAGGUUAAGAUUGCACAGUGAUAUUUAUUAUGUAAGUUUAGCUGAUUAAAGUUUAUGACUCUGCACUACAAUAUUAUUUAAAUUUCCAUCAUUAUUAUAAUAUUUAGGGUCAGACUCUACAGUAUUGAGAUUAAGAAAUCAAAUAUUUCAUAAAAUGUAAAUACACUGAACAAAUUUGUAUAUAUUUAAGUGAGAAUCUACAAUAUUAUUUGACACAAAUCUCUCUAAAUCAAAAUUUGAAUCAUUUUUACUCCAAACAUUUACUGGACUGAUUUAAAUAUUAAAAUCACUCAUUUCUAAUCCUCUGCUGUACGUUCAAACCUGAGGCCUUAAAUAGAAACACACAAGUAUCUGUUUGAAGGAACUUCUGCAGAGUCCUGGUUCCAGAACAUGAUGAUAGAAUUAUAGACAAACUUUAACAAACGCUGCCUGAGAGUUUACAAGUUUUUAUGUUGGAUUUCUUCAGUAAUUUAAUGAGAGUUAUCAGCAAAAAUCAAGUGUUCAUUUGAUGAACUUCAUUUCCUAAAACAUCCAGAGUUGGAACUCAUAUCUUUGGCAGCUUUAAAGUUUCUGCUCCUUCAAAGUUCACAACACAAUGAAUGAAUUCCUAAAACACUCUCAAUGCUGGAGAGCGUUUGAUGCUGAAGCAGUGACCAGUUUUUCUGUUUCUUCUCUGGAGAUGCACAAUGAGGGACGUCUGCAGAGACUGAGAAAGAGUCUCACCACAUCCUGACAUGAGGAAAAAGACUUUAUUGAAGACUACAAUGAGAAAAACUAUCAGACAGCAGACGGCUGCAUUCAAGGUGAGCUCUGAACAUUUGAUCUGGAACAGGAAUUCAAUAACGGCAGCAUGAGCUUCAUUUCAGUCUGUAGCUGCUGAAUUCAUGGAUGAAUCAUCUGGCACUAGAGAGGAAGACUAUCAAACAUCCACGUCAGCUGAUGGAGGUCCAAGAGUCUCACCGAACAAACAACCUACAGAAUGAAGACCUCAAAUCUGAUUGGACGGCCUCCUAUUAAGCCACGUGUGAACAAAUGCCUCUAAGCUGAUUUGUUUUCUAAAAUAAAUCGAGUUUGAGUCCUAAUCUA